ACUCCUGAGCUCUGUGCUGCAACCUUGGGGCAUUGGGCUCUGUCUUUCGGCCCCUCGGGGUCAGACCCCUGCUGUGUUGGGGGAUCCGAAGUGCUCCCAAGCUGCCUGGAAAGCAUUCAGGCGGGGUCGCUAGCAAGAACUCAGGCUGGGCAGCGGAGGCGGCACAGUGCACACACUCCUGCAGGAACAACCAGACAGGGGCUUUGGGAGGGGCUGCGUGCAGGGGGUCCCGCAGAACAUAUGCGCCCCAGUCCCGCAGGAAGGACCGCCCUGCUCUCUCUUGGCUCACUGGUGGGGACAGCACUUCCUGGAAUAACGUUGCUUUGGAUUUAACAACAGUUGGGCAAAGGAGGUCGGUAUACAGAUACAGGACAAGAAGAGUGGUGUCAAAGGGAGGCUAAAUCAUUGGUUCUGGCUUCAUCUAAGGAAUUCUUAUGAGAAAUCGAGGGAGAGACUGUCCUGGGAAGUCUGAUGAAACAUAUAAUUGAGACUUGAAAUGGGCAAAAUCACCCAAAAUUGAGAAGAGUGUGUGGAGAAGUCAGAAUCUUUUGGGGUUGGAAGGCUGAAAUCAAAUUUAUGUAAAAAUAGCACAGAGCCUAGCGGGCACUCACUAAAAGGUAGAGUUAUUUAUACAUAAAAUUGCAAAGAAGGAACAGUGAAGAAGUAAUUAUCGUCCUACUUGCUCAACAAAGAACAAACUUCAGAUUCUUUACUGUUACGAGCUCCUGGCUAA
rnacentral:lncRNA from 1 species